rnacentral:rRNA from 1 species
CGUAGGGUGCGAGCGUUAAUCGGAAUUACUGGGCGUAAAGCGUGCGCAGGCGGUUUGUUAAGAUAGGCGUGAAAUCCCCGGGCUCAACCUGGGAACUGCGCUUAUGACUGGCAAGCUAGAGUACGGCAGAGGGGGGUGGAAUUCCACGUGUAGCAGUGAAAUGCGUAGAGAUGUGGAGGAACACCAAUGGCGAAGGCAGCCCCCUGGGUCGAUACUGACGCUCAUGCACGAAAGCGUGGGUAGCAAACAGGAUUAGAUACCCUGGUAGUCCACGCCCUAAACGAUGUCAACUAGGUGUUGGGAGGGUAAAACCUUUUAGUACCGGAGCUAACGCGUGAAGUUGACCGCCGUGGGGAGUACGGCCGCAAGGUUAA